rnacentral:rRNA from 1 species
ACGCCCUCGGACAUUGUCGUGCACUGUUGUCUCCCAGGCAUCGACGGCCCAAAAAGCAGCGUUGCACGCUCCCGAAGCGACCCCAGGUCAGGCGGGACUACCCGCCGAGUUUAAGCAUAUCAAUAAGCGGAGGAAAAGAAACUUACCAGGAUUCCCCUAGUAACGGCGAGCGAACCGGGAAAAGCCCAGA